rnacentral:rRNA from 1 species
AGUCGACGAACUUCUUUAUCACCGAGUGCUUGCACUCACCGGUAAAGGGUUGAGUGGCGAACGGGUGAGUAACACGUGGGCAACCUGCCCAAAAGAGGGGGAUAACACUUGGAAACAGGUGCUAAUACCGCAUAACCAUAGUUACCGCAUGGUAGCUAUGUAAAAGGUGGCUAUGCUACCGCUUUUGGAUGGGCCCGCGGCGCAUUAGCUAGUUGGUGGGGUAAAGGCUUACCAAGGCAAUGAUGCGUAGCCGAACUGAGAGGUUGAUCGGCCACAUUGGGACUGAGACACGGCCCAAACUCCUACGGGAGGCAGCAGUAGGGAAUCUUCCACAAUGGGCGAAAGCCUGAUGGAGCAACGCCGCGUGGGUGAAGAAGGUCUUCGGAUCGUAAAACCCUGUUGUUAGAGAAGAAAGUGCGUGAGAGUAACUGUUCACGUUUCGACGGUAUCUAACCAGAAAGCCACGGCUAACUACGUGCCAGCAGCCGCGGUAAUACGUAGGUGGCAAGCGUUAUCCGGAUUUAUUGGGCGUAAAGGGAACGCAGGCGGUCUUUUAAGUCUGAUGUGAAAGCCUUCGGCUUAACCGGAGUAGUGCAUUGGAAACUGGGAGACUUGAGUGCAGAAGAGGAGAGUGGAACUCCAUGUGUAGCGGUGAAAUGCGUAGAUAUAUGGAAGAACACCAGUGGCGAAAGCGGCUCUCUGGUCUGUAACUGACGCUGAGGUUCGAAAGCGUGGGUAGCAAACA